GUAGGUGAACCUGCGGAGGGAUCAUUACUGAGUGAGGGCCCUCGCGGCCCGACCUCCAACCCUUUGUCAUCCGACUCUGUUCCCUCGGGGGCGACCCGGCCUUCGGGCCCGGGGCCCCCCGUGGACCCAUAACACUGCAUCCUUGCGUCUGAGUUACAGAUUAAAUCAAUCAAAACUUUCAACAACGGAUCUCUUGGUUCUG
rnacentral:misc_RNA from 1 species